GGUUUCUUGGGUUCUGGAGACUCUGAUGGCUGAAGCUGAGAUAGUCCUGUUCACUGCAGGAUGAAUGAUCCUAUUCUGUCUCAGAGAUUUGACAUCAUCCUUCACAAUUUAACUCAGCAUGGCUUAAAUUUCAAACAAUGGUGUUAAUCUACUCAAUCAAAUUAUAUGGUACUAAUUAAUAAACUACAACACAUUCUCUACCAGAGUAUCAUCUUACUCAUGUUUUAAAAGAAGCAACAACUAUGGUGAAUUAAAUAAAAUGAAAAAAAAA